rnacentral:snRNA from 1 species
GCGCUUGCUUCGGCAGCACAUAUACUAGAAUUGGAAUGAUAAAAUGAAGAUUAGCAUGGCCCCUGUGCAAGGAUGACACACAAAUUCAUGAAGCGUUCCAUAUUUUU